CAUUUCUAAGUUUAUGUCACAAAAAUAGCCUUCAAAAACUAAAAUGACCAGAAUAGCAUUUUAUCUUUUAAAAAAUUUAAUUUUUUUUUAUUUUUCAAAAUUUGAAAUCUUAUCCCAAAACCCCACUCGCCAACUCUAAACCUUAAAACCUAAACUCUAAACCCUAAACCCUAAACUCUAAACCUUAAAUCCUAAACUCCACCCCUUAACCUUAAACCCUAAUGUCUAAAUUAAUUUACUGCUAUUUUGGUCAUUUUUAUUCUUAAAUGCUAUAUUCGUGACAAAAACUUUUUUAGUGCUAUCCUAGUCAUUUUCUCAAAAAAAAAAUCCAUCAAUCAACAAGAUUAUGACUAAUACAAAACAUAUCUUAGAGAUAGAGAGCACAGUUUACCUCCACAGCUUCAAAAGUUAAGUUCAAAAUCUCAACGUUUUUAAAACCAAUAAUGAGAUUAAUGGGAUUGAAAGUGUUUGCAUGCUCUUCUUGCCAGACAGCUUCCUCAUCCGCACAAAGAUUGAGAUUAGCUUCAACAAGUGAGUCGAGAUUAACAGUUGGAUACUCCUUAGGAACAUAGUCAGAAUAGUCUAAGUAGGUUAGAGCAGGAGUAUCAAAGCUAAUGCUGUCAAACUCAUAAGCAAGGCCCCGAGGAUCAUCUAUUAUACCCUCCUCAUAGUAAGCCUUUGAUCAGGGUGGUACUAGAGACGGUGCAGCACCAUUUCCAGCGUUCCCACUCGUUACCAUUCAUCACUAACUCUUGGAGAACAGGGGAAACAGAAAGAAGCGUUUUAAACGUGCAGCGGCCAUCAUCAACACCAAAGAACCGAACAGAGUCAAGAAAGAGAGACUUGAGAGCUGGAAGAAAAACACCCGCAGGGAGAGCUUCAAUCAACAAACCAGACCCUAGUUUCAUAGUGGAAACUGUCUUGCAGGCAAAAACAUGACAAGGCAGUGAAUAGUGUUCUUCUCUAUCAACUUCGAUAUGGAGUUGAAGAACAAGAAGACCACAUGACGGAGACAACGAUUGAUAAGAUCUUCGUACUGCGCUUCAUGUUUACAUUUGAGUGAAAAUUUGCGGACACGAGAGCUGACAGGUAGAGCCAAUACUAGAUCCACAAAAUCCUUGAAACCUACAAGUGAGCGACCAUUGAAACGAAGCUUCGAUAUGAUGGUAAACAGAUUACGCCAACGUUUUGAGAGAAGAGUAGCGAAAGCAGCAUUCCUUUGCCGAGAGAAAGGAGCCAAUGUGGUGAAUUAUAUCAUCUGGUAGAUUACUGAUUCUAUCCAUUCACCACUGAGAAGAAGAACAAAGUCUAGACCCUCAAAUCAAGCACAAACUAGAUUACCUUAAUCAGAAAGGCAUAGAAUAGGGCUCUUCAAUAUGGUAAAACCGAACCGUACCGAAUCGAACCGAACCGAAAUAGCCAAUAUAGUUUGGUUUUGGUAUAUACCAUAUAAACCGAAUGGAUAUAUUUUUUUAUAAAAACCGUAGGAUUUGGAUAUGGUUUGGUAUAUAACCAAUUAAACCGAAUAAACCGAACAAAACCGAUUAAAAGUAGAAACAUGUAAAUAUGUAUCUAUUUUAUAACAAUACAUGAAAAUCUAUUUGUUACAUAAGUUAAAUUUGUGUUAAUAACUAUUACCAUAAUUUUAUAGUAAUAAAGAACCUUAAUUUGUAAAACACUUGAACUAUAGUUAAAUAGCAAUACAUCGCAAUUCAGACAUUUUAUUUUCUAAGUCUUCUUUUGAUCUUUUUGCUUUAUUUUAGUCUUCACUAAAUUAAUAUGAAGAUUAUAAAUUUAAUGGACAAUAAUUAAUGAAAAAUUUUCACAACUUUUUUUUUAUCUGUAAACAAACAGAAUUUCGUGUUCGAUUGAAAAAGCAUGACUUUAAUGAACACUAAAUAUGGAAGAGUGGAAAAACUUUUCUUUCAUGUUUCUGUUUUGUUUCAUAUUUUUAUUUUCAAAAUUUGAAGCUUUGAUUUUAGUUAUAGAUUUGAUUAUUUUAUUUGAUGGUAGAAGCAUUUUUACUUUUUUGUUCAUUUAUUUGAACAUGUAAUAUAUUUUUAAUAAAUGACUGUGUUGACAAUAUGACUCUAAAAUUCAUAUAAUAUGAUCUCAAACUAAAUAAUUAUGUUUUUUUGGUAUAAAACCGAAUAAACCGAAAACCGACGAUAUAUAAACCGAACCGAACCGAAGUAAAUAUGAAUUUAAAAUGGUAGUUAUAUUUUACUAACCGAAAUACCGAAAACCGAAAAAAACCGAACUGAUAUCCGGAUUGAACACCCCUAGCAUAGAAGAAUAAGAAUCGGUGAAUCGCAAUACCUUAACGAAACGCAGGUUUCCAUCUUCCAAGAGAAUUUGUGCAAUCUUCAAAACCCUCGAAAUGUAUCAGUUUCGUUUCGUUUGAUAAAAAAGAUAAAAGAAUUAACCUUUAUAAUAACAAAAUGGAAAUUCUCGCCGUUCCCGGAUAUCGAACCCGGGUUAACCGGUGACAGGCGGGAAUACUGACCACUGUACUACAACGACUUCGUUGUUGAUUAAAACCAAAAGCGUUUUGUUUUCUAAAGGUUAGACCGGGCUAAACCAAUCCUAUAGAUAUAAAAUUGAGUGGGUAAUUCGAAUUCGUUUCUGAAACACACAACUUCUUCACCAAUCUUCUUCCGUCUUUAAGCUUCAUCAAUCUGAAUCCUAAGCUCUCUCUCUCUCUUCAAAACCAACACCUUUGAUUCUUACAUUCCCUCACAUUCGUUUCUUAUGAAACUUCAUUUCGUCUGCUCAAGAAGAACACGUGCUGCCUCUUUACAUCAGCUCCGCUUCCUCCAAACACCUCGCAUCGAUGCUCGCAUCAUCAAAACCGGGUUCAACACAGACACUUGUCGUUCCAAUUUCAUCCUCGAGGACUUUCUCCGUAGAGGUCAAGUUUCCGCUGCACGCAAGGUGUACGACGAAAUGCCUCACAAGAACACCGUCUCCACGAACACCAUGAUCUCCGGCUACGUCAAGUCCGGUGAAGUUUCCUCCGCUAGAGAUCUCUUUGACGCCAUGGUGGAUCGAACUGUGGUCACUUGGACUAUCUUGAUGGGUCUGUACGCUGGUAACAACAGGUUCGACGAAGCCUUCGAGCUUUUCCGACAGAUGUGCAGGUCUUGUACCUUGCCUGAUCAUGUCACCUUCGCCACGCUUUUACCAGGGUGCGACGACGCGGUUGCUGUGGCGCAAGUUCAUGCCUUCGCCGUCAAGUUAGGGUUUGAUAGGAACCCUUUUCUCACUGUUUGCAAUGUCUUUGUUAAGUCUUAUUGCGAGAUAGGGAGGCGUGAUUUGGCGCGUGUGGUGUUUGAGCAGAUUACGGAGAAGGACUCUGUCACGUUCAACACGCUUAUUACAGGGUACGAGAAGGAUGGUUUGUACAUUGAGGCGGUUCGUCUCUUUGUCGAAAUGCAGCAGUUGGGUCACAAGCCUUCGGAUUUCACGUUUUCUGGUGUUCUCAAGGCCGUUGUUGGGCUUCAUGAUUAUGUUCUUGGUCAGCAACUCCAUGGUUUAGCGGUUUCUACUGGAUUCUCCAGGGAUGUGGCUGUUGGGAAUCAGAUUCUUGAUUUCUACUCGAAGCAUGAUUGUGUUGUAGAGACUAGGAAGCUUUUCAACGAGAUGCCUGAGUUGGAUUUUGUUUCUUACAAUGUGGUCAUCUCAGGGUAUUCACAGGCUGAGCAAUACGAGGAAUCCUUGGGACUGUUCAGAGAGAUGCAGUCCAUGGGGUUUGAUCGGAGAAACUACCCUUUCGCGACGGUGCUGAGCAUCGCAGCUAACUUGUCAUCGUUGCAUAUUGGCAGACAGGUGCACUGCCAGGCCAUCGUGGCGACUGCUGAUUCGAUCCCGCAUGUCGGAAACUCUUUAGUGGAUAUGUACGCGAAGUGUGAGAUGUUUGAGGAAGCUGAGUUGAUAUUCGAGAGUCUAUCACAACAGAGCACUGUUUCAUGGACUGCGUUGAUCUCAGGUUAUGUUCAGAAAGGGCUUCAUGGAGAUGGUCUUAAACUGUUCACCAAGAUGCGAGGAGCGAAUCUACGAGCAGACCAGUCCACUUUCGCUACUGUACUGAGAGCUUCGGCUGGUUUCGCUUCUUUGUCUCUGGGGAGGCAGCUCCACGGGUUCAUAAUAAGGUCAGGAAACUCAGAGAACGUCUUCUCCGGUUCUGGACUUGUUGAUAUGUACGCCAAGUGUGGUUCUAUCAAAGACGCGGUUCAAGUGUUCCAAGAGAUGCCUGAUAGGAAUGGAGUUUCUUGGAAUGCUUUGAUCUCAGCUUACGCUGACAACGGAGAUGGAGAAGCAGCGAUUGGUGCGUUUGAUAGGAUGAUUCACUCAGGUCUCCAGCCAGAUUCAGUCAGCAUCUUGAGCGUCUUGACUGCAUGUAGUCACUCUGGAUUCGUUGAACAAGGAACCGAAUAUUUCGAGGCAAUGUCUCGGGUCUACGGGAUCACUCCAGGAAGGAAACAUUACGCCUGCAUGCUGGAUCUGCUGUGCAGGAACGGGAGAUUUGAAGAAGCAGAGAAGCUGAUGGAGGAAAUGCCCUUUGAGCCAGAUGAGAUAAUGUGGUCAUCAGUGUUGAACGCAUGCCGGAUUCACAAGAAUCAGAGCCUUGCUGAGAGAGCAGCAGAGAAGCUCUUUAGUAUGGAGAAGCUCAGGGACGCUGCUGCUUAUGUAAGCAUGUCAAAUAUCUAUGCUACAGCAGGAGAAUGGGAAAAUGUUAGUCUUGUCAAGAAAGCUAUGCGUGAACGUGGAAUCAAGAAAGUUACUGCGUCUAGCUGGGUUGAAGUGAACCACAAGAUCCACGACUUCUCAUCAAAUGACCAGAGACACCCGAGGGGAGAUGAGAUUGUGAGAAAGAUCGAUGAACUGACAGCCGAGAUUGAAAGACUAGGGUACAAGCCUGACACGAGUUGUGUAGGACAAGACGUAGAUGAGCAGAUGAAGAUCGAAUCGCUUAAGUUCCACAGUGAGCGUUUAGCCGUUGCGUUUGCUCUUAUCAGUACACCAGAAGGGUCUCCGAUCCUUGUGAUGAAGAACUUGAGAGCCUGCAGGGAUUGCCACGCUGCUAUAAAACUGAUAUCGAAGGUUGUAAAGAGGGAGAUAACUAUAAGGGACUCAAGAAGAUUCCAUCACUUUAGAGAUGGGCUCUGUUCUUGUGGGGAUUACUGGUGAAACCUCAAGUUUUGACUCAGAGAACAAAUGUAAAAACAUUGGAAUCUUUCUUCUGAUGUAUGAAGUGAAUUUUUAGACUUAAACCGUGUCGAGUUACAAUGUAAUUUGAAUUGGUUUUCUUUUUCAGUUCGGUUCAGUUCCGGUUUAAGUGAAGUAGUUACGCUUCUAUGCUUUUGCUGAACCGUAGACGAGCGAGCGAGCAAUUGGAUCCAGAGAGGAGGAAGAAUGAAGAAGGCGGAAGGAGGGGCGGAGAAUCUGCUUGGCUCACCUACUUUCGUGGAUCUAGGAAACGGACGGCUCAGAUGCGCGGAGACUGGUCACGAAGUUGUUGCCGGAGACGAAGAAGCAUACGCUCGUAACAAACGGUGUCGUCUGGGACUCAUCGAUCACGCUCUAUCUCAUGGGAAAUCUCCUCUCAACAUGUUCUCCCAGUGCCUAAUUUCUCGGUUAGCCCAAGAUUGAAACCUUUGUAGUUGGAUUAUGUUAGCUUAAGUUGUCUAUAGGUUAGUUUUUUUCUUUUUCUUGAAACCGUUGAGGACCAUUGGUUUGCUUGUUUAAGUUGUGUAUUUAGUGCCAGUGCAUCGUUAUGUUUAAAAGUCUUCAAGCUUUUAAGUUAUAUCCUCAGCAUAAAAGUAUGGCUAAAGUAUUUACCUUUCUUCUUGUUUUUUUGGCUAUGUUCUUAGUUCGAAGCUCGUGUGCAAGCUUACAGGGGAUACUGUGAACAAGAACGAGCAACAUAUCUGGAAACACGUGAAUGGGAAGAGAUUUCUACACAGAUUAGGUCAAUGAACAUCAGAUAUUGACUGAUUCUAAUUUUGUUAUUCCUGGCUUUUACUUAAUGUUUUCGUGUUGAUGUAUCUGAUAGAGCAAGUGGAAAGAGGAGCUGGAACAAGCGGAAAGACCGAGAAAAUACAAGUAACCUACAAACAUAGACGCCUUAAGGAAGAUACUGAUUCCGAUGAUUCAGAGUUUUGGAUGCUUAAUUCAAGUUCUGGUUCAGAGUCAGAGCAGGAAAGUGAUGAAGAAAACUGCAAAGGUGCCUCUUUUUGUUGUUUUUUUUUGUUGGUUCUACUUUCAUCUUCGUAUCGGAACUUCAACUAGAUUUGCAUCUCGUUUUGGUACAGAUUCUCAUUGUGAUGCCAAAGAAUCCGAGGAGCUCUCGGAAAGGUAAAUGUAUACACUUACUCUUAUUUCUGUGUAUUAUAUAUAUUCAAAAAAUUGCGGAUUGGUUUUGUUGUUCACCUCUAGUUGUUUUGUCUCUUCAACAGAACAAAGAGAAUGUCAAUAGAGAUUGGACCAAGUAGCUUUGCUUCGAGGAAGAAAAAGAUUAGGAAUAGUAAUGAGUCAUGUUAAGAAAAGAUUUGUUGCAAUAAGUAGAUACAGUUUUGUUUACAAAAUAAAAUAAAAAAGAAGCCUUUAUCGGAUGAUGUUUGGUGCAUGUAGUGAAUCUUCCCACCGUUUUAAUCAGCCACAAUGGGCCCUUCAGUUGCUCGUGUAUCACACACACCAUCCUACAGAAACAUAUAUAUAUAUAUAUAUAUAUAUAUAUAUACCAGAACCGUAUAUCUGAAAGAGGAACAUCAAGAAACAACACAGGCCUGCACGCAGACAUCAUCUCAUAAGUUAUGAAAUGGUAUGCAUAGAGAGGCAAAGAGCUAGUAAGAAGGAACAACAAUCCACCUGAAGCUUAAAUGGAGAAGAGAAGCUGAGAUGUUGUAUAUUAAAGACCAACAAUUAAACGUUUUCUCUUUGUGGUAUAUCAAAGAUUAAGCGCCUUAAAGCUUCUUGUUUAACUAAUCAUCACCAAAAGUUUGCAUUUAACAUCUCUGUUAAGCGCAAGAAGAAUAUUGUUACACAAGCAAGUAAUAUUGUUCCACAACUCCAUCAGGGUAAAGAGAAUAUAAGGAAUAAGUUUUUUGAUUGAUUAUGUCAUUCUCCCUUAAAAAUGCAUUUAAGAUUAAUCAAAACCACAUUAUUUUCAUAGUCCUCUCAAUUUGACUUAUAAAUAUAACUUGUAUGAUGUGAAUUUUUCAAGAACAUAUUCUUAUUUCUUGGCAAAUACUCUCUCACGAGAUAUUAUAUAUAUGUAGUAUCCAAAGAAUCAUUUUGGGAGUGAUUGGUUGUGGCUAUAGAUGCUCUAAACAGCCAAAAUUUAGUCUAAAACUAUAUAUAUCAACCAAUCGAGUUUUCCUUUCCUUAAAAAUCACAACAAAAAAAAUUACUACAAAAUGAAAAUAUGGCUGUAGAGAACUUUAUUUCCAGAGAAAAAAAUAGUGUUUUACAAAGUUACAGCAAAAUAAUCUACAUCAAAUAAAUCUACAGUUUAAAUUCUACACCCAAAAACAUAAAGCUACGACUCAUUCCAAUUACCCCUUUAUUUGGUUUCUCUCAACCAUAUUUACAUUAAAUCUACAAUAAUCAUAUCAGUGUUUAACCAAACUAGUACGAGAUUCCUCAUUGUUUUUGCAUUGGUAAUCUUUUUAUGACUCGCGUCAUAUAUUGAAUGUUUUGAUCAAUAUCAAUCAACAAGCAUUUUAUUUCCUAUGGCAAACAAUUCAUAGGGUAGCAGGACUCUCCAAAAUUUAUUUUGGGGCAUUGAUGAAUCUGUUUCCAUUCAUUCCACUUGAUCUCUUAAGGGUAAUAGUGUUGUUUAUAAUGGUUAAUAGUGUUGUUUAUAAUGUUGAUAGAUCCAGAGACUGGAGCAUGCUUUAGAAUCUGAAUCCGAAAAAAAAAUGGUGAUGACUGAUGACAGACGAGCAUGCUCCAGUCUCUGACACUGAAAGUGAGGCCAGCAAAGACCAGUGAAAUUGGGAAAGUAAACUAUAACUAAUUAGUGUUUGAUUUCGGUAAAAUGCAAAAUAUUGAAAAGCAGUUGUAUAUACGAAGAGGCAAAGGAUAAUAAAGAAGAGAAAUUACCUAACUAGGAGACAGCCUUUAACGUAACCAUCGCCGAACCACAGCCACAAUGUUCAUGCGAUUAUUUGAGGAGAGCGAACACCAGGAGGGCCACUUCAGUGGAACCACUGGAAAAGGAUGGAGGAAAAACGCAACUGAGCUGAAACCGAAGCUCCCAGCCGCAACCAAACACCCUGACACACCUAACGCGUAACCACCAGGGAACACAAAAGAAUGGACCUACGACUCCGCCUCCGUUGAAACCCCACGCGCUGCCAUCACCGGGGAACACUACGGCAGCAUCCCAAGCAGAGCAGAGGGAACAGAACUCACCAAGACCGGCGAGAACCAGAACCCUAGCCCAGUGACGGCCCUGAGCACAAGCGGCAGAAGCACAUGCUUCCGGCCCUGUUUAAAUUAUUUAAAUUUUCGGCCCAAAGUUACCAAAAUUUUCGGUAGUUCAGAUGGCUUACAAUGUGUUUUAGUGUGUAUUAGGUGGGGUGUUCGAAUCUUUCAAGCCACAAUUUCUUUUAGUCAAUUAAUAAUAGACUCAAAUUUUUAAUUUUGCUUCCAACCUUUAAAUUAUACGGGUCGGGUCUGCCCUAGCCUCGCACCGAACCCGAAAAUUAAGUUAAAAUUUUGCAACACUACAAUAUUUAUUGAUUGUAGAAUGCCGAAUACAAAUGUUUGUCUCUUGAAUGUAUCAUCGUUGUCGAAGAGUUAACAUAUUACAACUCAUUUUAAUUAUUUUAAAGACUUUAUAUGCAUAAAAAGAAAUUAAGUUUUUGGGGCUAACACAAAUCACCAAAAUCAAAUAGACAACAUCGAUUUUAAAAUGACGAAAUGAGAUUACUAUCGACUCUCCACGUGAUUUCAUUUUCUAUAUUUUUAAAAUAGUGUUUUUGUUCUUGUUUAUGUUUCACUGAUAUGAGUUUUGUUUCUUUUUUUUAGUUAUUAUGUGAAUUUGGUGAAUUACAUUGUCAAUUAAACAAGAUAGAUAUAUGUAAAAAUUAGUUCUAAUCCAGAUACAUAUGUCUAAAAAUCAAAAUUUUGAAGAAAAUCACCGGAAAACUUUUAGUGUUCAAAUCUAAUAUAUCAAAUUGUUAUAGAAUAUAAGUGCAUACUCGAAAUAUAAAUGUAUGUAUAGUGUAUAUUCACCAGUUCUGUCUAAAAAUCAUCUAAUUCUAUGACAAAAGAUACUUAUUUUAUUAACCUACUCUUUUGAGAUUUAGUUACUUAAGAAUAUACCGAUAAAAAUAUAUAUAAUACUUCAUUCUAGUAUAUGUAAACUAUUGUAUAAACAAAGAACUAUUUGAUUUAUUUGAUAAUAAACCAGAAAAUUUAUAAUAAAUAGUUCAAAUCUCUCAUUCUUACAAUUAUAAUAACUAGAUAUGGUAUUACGGAGAAACAAAUAUUAGACGAAUGAUCAAAUCUCUCAUUCUUCGAACAAACUCAAAAGCAAGUAAUUAAUUAGAAUAUUGUUAUGAUAUUUCGUUAAAAGAUUUUUAUGAAUAAAAAAUCAAGACUAAAUUAUUUAAUCUGAAUAAAAUCAUAUAUAUAUAGUGCUUCCAAUAUUAAAAAUCACUUCGAUUUGAAGAAGUGUAUUUAUGAGAUUGUCAAAAUCAAAUAACAUAUUAGAAACCACAUAUUUAAAAAAUAAUUUGUAUACAUAAAAUUAAAUACAUUAUAAUAAGUAUAUAAAUCAAAAUCAAUACCUUUCUUUUAUUACAACCUAUGUUUCUGGUAAAUAAAUCAAAAAAAUCAUUUUAUUUACUUUAUAUGGUAUAUAAUUAAACUUUAGUGAUAUUGACAUAUAUAUAAUAUUUUAAUAUAAAUAUUUAUUAUUGACACUUCAUACUCAUAUAAUUUUAUUAACAUUUUUAUAUUUGAUGUGACAAAAAUUUAAACCGUUAAUCACAAAAAAUAUUUAUGUGAAAUUUUUCAAUACAAAUUUCAAAAUUAAAAUACUAAUAUCUCAAUAAUGUUUCAAUUCAAAAUUUGAAAUUAACAUAUUUAUAUAUUUUCAUAUAGUAAACAAUUUAAUUUUAAUGAUAUGUAUAUAUAUUAUGAACAUCAACUAAUGAGACUUCAUAUUCAUAUGAUUUAUGAUCAUUUGUAUCUUACUUGAACAAAAAACUAUUGAUCACAAAUUUUCAGUGUGAGACUUUUACUAUUUUUAGUAGUUUACAGUCGUUUUAUAAUAUCAAAAAUAACAUAUAGGAGAAAAAAAAAUAUAAUUUUGUUAUUAUAUGCUUAAUAUGAUUGUUUAAUUUAUUUUAAUAAUAUAAAAUUAAAAAAGAGAUAUGAUACAAAAAUAAUUAUCAAAUAUGUAUGAUUCAUAAUCAUUAAUUGUCAUAUAUAUAUGUUAAUCAUAUUGGAUAAUUCCAUAGCUUUUAUUUAAGAAAAAAAUUGAGAAUAUUCUUUUGUACACUACUAAUCAAUUUGAGAGUUAAUUUAAUAAAAAAAUGUAAUAUAUAUAUAUUUAUAUGGACCAACUUAUUUUCUAAGGAUUUUAAGAAUCAUCUUAGUGAUGACACGUGGUUACGAAAAGAUGUUGUAAUGCUUCAGAAUUAAUAUAUACGAGAUGUUUGAAUUUAUAUUAUUUAUUAUUUUAUAAGUAAUAGUGAUAUCAUUGGGGUCCCAAAAUUAAAUUUGUAAUCAACAAGUUUAUUUAUUAUCAAAGUAAAAGCGUACUGGAUAAAGGUUAUAUUGUAGUCUUUUUUUUUUACCUAAAGAAAUAUAUUGUAAUCUUACUUUAAUCUUAGGGAAAAUUGCCAAAUAUGACUCACAACUUGAUUUCAAAUGCAAAAUAAACUCAAAUUUGAAUCAAAUGCAAAACUAACCUAAAAUGCUAUUGAAAUUACAACCAGCCCCUUGUGAACAAACAAAAAAACCAAUUUUUUUUUUACGUUUCUAACCCCCGUAAGUCGUCUGUCCAGACGACUUUCCAGUAAGUCGUCCUGGACUAGUUCUACUUAGAAAUAAUUUAAAAUUUUUGUAAAAAAUAUUUUGAUAAGUAAAAAAUUGAAAUCAUGUAAUUAACAUAUGUUUUAAGAGAUAUAAAUUAAGAUAUAACAAAAGUUAAUUGUUUUCAACAUAGAUGAGUGAAAGUAGUGAGUCAUGAUAUUCUUUGGUUUAGGUUUUGCCAACAUAUGUUGUAGUAUUGUAUGUGUUCUUAGGGUUAGAUUUUGGAAUGCAUAAAUGUUUUUUUGAAAACUUUAAAAUUUACCUAAGUGUGUUUAUUUCUGUGUAUAGUAAACACUAUUUAAGUAUAACUACGGCUUUAUAACGUGGUUAGUUAGUUAAUUUAGUCAAUUUAGUUUAGGCGUUAAAUUUAGGGUCUGGGACGACUUACUAGUAAGUCGUCCAAACCGGACCGAACCUUUAAUUUUUCAAUGUACUUUUAAACCUAACCGGAUUAUUUACCAGACAUAUAUAAGGUGUUUUUUUCUAUUCACUGUUUCGCGAAAUUCAGAAAACCCUAACGCCGUUUCUCUCAAAGGCGAUUUCGAAGGCGAUUUUCGUCGAUUUUCGUCGAUUCUCUCUAAUCCAUCAUUCUCACCGCCGGUUAUCUCUACGCCGUUAUCACCGUAGUUCUCACCACCGUUCUCACAGCCGCUUCCUCUAUAUAAGAUCUGAGAGGAAACCCUAGCGCACAUUCUCUCAGAGGCGUCUCGUUGAACUCCGCCGCCGAUAAAUUAUAUCUCUUACUGUCGAGUGAUUGAUUGAGGAAAAGAUGAACAUAAAACAUUGUCUCUAUCAAUUUAUACACUCGUUCUUUUUUUCACGUCUAUUUUUGCAGAUAUAUAACCGCUAUGUCGAAGGCGACUAUAUCUUCUCCGAAUUUUCAGGUCGGCUUUAAAAUGUUAUACUGGAAGUCUUGGAAGACUUAUAAUUAAGUCGUCUGCAAAGUCUUCCAGCUGGAAGACUUUCCAGACGACUUAAUUAUAAGUCUUUCAGCUGGAAAACUUGCCAGACGACUUAAUUAUAAGUCUUUGAUUGUUUUGAGAUGGUUGACUUAAUUAUAAGUCUUUGAUUGUUUUGAGAUGGUUAUCUUUGAUUGUUUUGCAGGAAAAAAAAUUGAUAUACCAGAACUCCCCCGUAGGAUACAUACAUUAGGGGAAGAGCCCGCCGCAGUGCAUAGCAUUUCAUAUCAUACUUGUUGGACGUUGCAUACUGCUUUAAAGAAAGCUCUUCAUGUUGACGAAUAUGAAGAGCUGAAGGAGUUGAAGUUGGGAGUUUUCAUCAAGUUCCAAGAGCUGGGAUUUGAUUGGGCUUCAAGGCUGGUUCACUACAUGCUCGGUUUCCAGCUGGACAUAAAGAAGAAGUAUGAGCUGUGGAGACUCGUUGGUCCAGAACCUGUGAGGUUUUCACUGUUAGAGUUUGAAAACCUCACUGGUCUAAACUGCGAGUACAUCGAGGACCUUGAGAGACCUCACUGUGUUGUUUCAAAGGAGUUGACUUCUUUCUGGGAGAUGUUGGGAGUUCAUGUCGAAGCUGGGCCAUAUACUCAGGAGAUAAUAGCAGCAUUUGAGAGAUGCAAAGGGUGGUCUCGGGAUUAUCGCAAGCGGCUCGCGUACCUUGCCAUCUUCAUUGGAUACAUUGAAGGGAGAAAGUAUUCAACCCCUACACGGGUUAGUCUGGCAAGGCUAGUGAUGGAGCUAGAACGGUUUGAGAAUUAUCCAUGGGGGAGAGUCGCGUUUAAGGUGCUGAUGGACUCUGUGAAGGGCAUAGAUAUUUUGGGUUGUUACACUAUUAAUGGGUUUGCGCAAGCUCUCCAGGUCUGGGUGUACACAGCUCUGCCGGAAUUGGGUGCUAAUUAUGGUAAUCCUCUCCCAAACAAUCUGUAUCCACCGAUACUGGCUUACAAGGGUCACAAAGGACGCAUACAGUUUAAAGAGGCUAUCCUCAGUCAGGUAUUUACUUAAAUCUGGACGACUUCUCAUAAAACUUAUAAUUAAGUCGUCUGAUAAGUCUUCCAACUGGACGACUUAGUAGAAGACUUAUAAUUAAGUCGUCUGGAAAGUCUUCCAGCUGGAUGACUUAGUAGAAGACUUAUAAUUAAGUCGUCUGGAAAGACUAUCCUGACUACUUAAUUAUAAGUCUUCUACUAAGUCUUCCAGCUGGAAGACUUUCCAGACGACUUAAUUAUAAGUCGUCCAGCUGGAAGGCUUUCCAGACGACUUAAUUAUAAGUCGUCUGCGAAGUCUUUUCUUUCCAUCUUUCUUAAUCUGUCAAAUAUCUAAGUUCAUAUCUUCUAUUUACUGCAGACGAGGGUGAUCAACUUUGUUCAGAAGGACAUUGGUGAAAUGUUUCCAAAAUGGGAGUUUGAUGUUGAGGACACGCCCGCGGAGAACAUAAUUAAACUCAUGUUUGUGAAGAAACCGUGGAAGUGGACCAUGGAUUGCUGGGAAGUCACCGGUACUUGGGUCAAUACAAAGCCGGCGGUUGUGAGUCCAGCGAAGAAAAAAGUAGUGAAAGAAGACAGUCCAAGACCUCGGAAGAAAGCUCGUAAAGAGGCUAGUGAAGAGGCUAGUGAAAAGGCUAGUGAAGAGGCAGCUGCAGUGGCUAGUGAAGAGGCAGCUGCAGAGGCUAUUGAAGAGGUUCAUACGACUGUUGGUGGGUUGACCAAAGAGGAUAUUAAAAUCAUGUUCAAGGACAUAGUUGAUGCCAUGAGGGAAUGGUUUGGGACGUGCCUUAAGGAGAUCAAGUAUCUGUCGGAAAGGGUGGAAGCUGUGGAGAAGAAGGUUGGUAUCACCACAAAACGGAAAGGGACAUCAGCUCAAAACACUACCCCUCCACGUAAACCGACGCUCGAACCCGGGGUUAGUAACGAAUCCUCUCCCAACAAGAGAUUGACUAGACAAAGUCUUAAGAAUAAGAACUGAAAAAUUGCAUUUGCUUUGUUUCUUGUAUGUCAGAACAUGUGUGCUUUUUUUAUAGUGUAUGAAAUGGAUCUUUGGACAAAGUCAUUGGUUAUUAUUGUUUGAAAUGGAUCUUUGGUUAUUAUUGUAUAAACCCAUCUUGUAUAUUGCAGAAUGAAAGUGUUAAUGGGACGAACGCGGGAAGGAAGAGCUUGCCGGAGGAUAAAGGUCCAGAUGUGCACGCAGAUGCUAGUUCCUCGAAAGAUAAAGCUCCAGAACCGAGCCUUGUUCUAUUGAAAAAAAAUCAAUCCACUGUUUCGGAUUUACAGAAGGAGGAUGCUAGAUAUCUGGAAAAGAGGGAUGCUGCUUUGGCACUUUGCCGUGCAAAGAGUGAUCGAACAAGGAAACUUGCUGCCUCACAGCAAUCUCCUUAUACGGCAAACAGCACGGCCAAAGUGAUCAUUCCAAACAAAAAGCUUUAUCGAGGCUAUAAUCCUUUUGCACUAAUUGACAAGAAGAAGUUGAAGGAGCUUGCUGAUUAGUUGAAAACUUGUCCGUAAGUGUUUGCUUUUCCCAUAAUAGCUUGCUUUAGUCUACAAAAACUGAUUGCUUUUCAACAUUUUAUGUUUGCAAUCAUUAUAGAACAUCUCUCGAUAAAAAACCACGUACAAGUAGAACUUGGUGGUAUCAAAUCCUCCGGACCUCCUUAGAGUGGUUGGAGGACUGUGUAAGUCUUCUGCUAUGACUUAGAUGACUUACUCAUAAGUCUUUUUGUAGACGAGUUACCAAUAAGUCGUCUACGUAGAAGACUUACCAGACGACUUACCAGACGACUUACCAGUAAGUCGUCUGAUAUCUUCUGACUUGUACCCUAUUUUAUAUGCAGCAUAUUGAUGCUUGGAUUAAUGUCCUGAGGAAGAGGUACGACGCUAACCCACAACAUUUCAGGAGCGAGAGAAUGUGCUUCCUUGAUCAUCUCUUUGCUCGGCAAUGGAGAUUCAACUACAAGGAUUUUAAGGACUCGGAGCCCGAUCCAAACGGUUUAGGAAGAAGACUCCCUGGUGGGGCGUGGAAUUAUUAUGCAGGCACUAUACCAUCAUUUUGCCAAUCGAACAAGGUUUGGGGGACGAAUAUUUAUGAUGUCUAUGCGCCAGUGAACUUCAACGACACUCAUUGGAUUGCUAUGUGGAUAUCGAUCCCUAAGAGGCACAUAGUCGUCUGGGAUAGCAUUUGUUCCAGUAUCUCCCCAGGAGAACUCGAUGUGGUAAUGGAGCCUUUUCUCUACAUGGUCCCUUAUCUGCUUGUUGAGUGCGCUUCCUCAGACAAACAAUGUGCCCAAUACAGCCUGGAGCCAUUCACAUAUGAGAGACCGACCAAUAUACCUUCGGCCCGAGCUGGUGAUUGUGGCGUGUACUCUCUAAAGUACAUUGAAUGUCAUGCUCUUGGGAUAGAGUUUAGUAAAAAAGAAUUUGCUAAGCCCAACGGGAAGACUAUCAGGGAUAAGAUGGCGGUGGAUAUAUUUCAAGAGCUUCCUGGCGCGCAUGAGUUCGAAAACAAGGACAAUGAUGCCAACCUGGGUGCGUAUGAGGGGUGAUAAACAGGUUACGUUAGAUUAUUUGUAUGAUAGAUUAGGCUGAUGUGUGUAUUUGAACUUGAUCCAUAUUUUGUAACCUAUAAGUAUUCUGGAAAACCUUAUGUGCAGUGACCUUUUGUAACCUUUCAGAUAAUAUAAAGGGCAAGACCUUCUUAAAUUUGUUUGGUAGUGCAAUUUGACAAAGAAGUUGAUACAGAUAAGUUCAUAACACAAAUUUUUAAUACAUAGACUAAACACUGGACGACUAACUGGACGACCUUCUGGACGACUUACUUGAAGGUCUUCUGGAAGAAAAAACCCUGGACGACUAACUGGACGACCUUGUGGACGACUUACUUGAAGGUCGUCCACGUCAUUUCUUACAUUGUGGUUUCGUAUGGCCAGUUUCUUUGCAUUUUGAGCAUCUAUAAUGCCAACCUGGGUGCGUAUGAGGGGUGAUAAACAGGCUACGUUAGAUUAUUUGUAUGAUAGAUUAGGCUGAUGUGUGUAUUUGAACUUGAUCCCUAUUUUGUAACAUAUAAGUAGUCUGGAAAGUCUUAUGUGCAGUGACCUUUUGUAACCUUUCGGAUAAUAUAAAGGGCAAGACCUUCUUAAAUUUGUUUGGUAGUGCAAUUUGACAAAGAAGUUGACAUAGAUAAGUUUAUAACACAAAUUUUUAAUACAUAGACUAAACACUGGACGACUAACUGGACGACCUUCUGGAUGACUUACUUGAAGGUCUUCUGGAAGAAAAAACCCUGGACGACUAACUUGAAGGUCUUCUGGAAGAAAAAACCCUAGACGACUAACUUUAAGGUCUUCUGGACGACUUACUUUAAGGUCUUCUGGAUUUCUUCUGUCUUCCCGGACCACGAUAAGUUCAUAACACAAAUUUUUAAUAUAUAGACUAAACACUGGACGACUAACUGGACGACCUUCUGGACGACUUACUUGAAGGUCUUCUGGAAGACUAAACACUGGACAACUAACUUGAAAGUCUUCUGGAAGAAAAAAACCCUGGACGACUAACUAGACGACCUUCUGGACGACUUACUUGAAGGUCGUCCACGUCAUUUCUUACAUUGUGGUUUCGUAUGGCCAGUUUCCUUGCAUUUUGAGCAUCUAUAAACCCUGUGUUGCUUCUGGGGUUUGCGUCCUCUCAUCCUGGAUAGCUCCAACCAAGAUUGUCUUGAUUUCUUCUGUCUUCCCGAACCACGCUUUACAUCCGGAGGAAAGCAUGUGCGUUCCUCAACUUGUUGUCCAACACAAGGAUAUAUAUUCUCUGAGUAUCCUGCAAAUAGAAAAUCCUUUGAGUACACUGGACAUACAAGUGUGGAGAUAUGCAAACCAACAGAUGUUCCAACAGCUAUAGCAUGAGGGCAAGGUAUUUUCUCCACUGCAUAGACACCACAAUCACACUUUCCAUGUUCCAAAUCAACCACACAGUCCAUUUUGCCACCUUUCACAAAGAAUCGCCAUCCAUCAAUUGGUUGUACCGUCAUCGUUUCCGCUAUCUCCGAUCGAACAACAAGCAAGUAUUCAACACCUCGACUAUGUUGAGUUGGGAGACUCAAAGCAUCUUCUCUCCUUUUCCAAAACCACUUUCCUAGCUUCUCCCUUAUGAACUCCAACAGGAACUGAACCGGAAAUCCUCUAGCUCACUUCAGAGCGGAAUUAAUAGAUUCAGCGAUGUUGCUUGUCUUUAUGUUGUACAUGUCCCCCUGAAAAUAAACCCUUGACCAUAGGCUGACGUCGGCAUUCGCCAAAUACGUUGCAAGGUCCGGGUUUGCACUCCGUAUCUCAGCCAUGUACCGGUCAAAAUAUGAAACCGUAUGAGCAUAAGCAGCACCUUUCACCAAGUACAAGAGAUGUUUUCCUUUAUACUUUUUGACAAUGUUAUCUUGAAGGUGAUAAUAACAUAUUCCUCGGGUUGCCCAAGGAAACACCUUAUCACAUGUACUUUUAAUGGCCGUGUGCCGGUCGGAGACUAUCACCAGAGGCUGCUCAUCAGAUACACAACUAGCCAAUUUUGUGAAAAAUCAUUCCCAAGAAGGUUCAUCUUCAGCAUCUACGAUCCCAAAAGCCAAUGGAAAUAUCUGAAAAUUUCCAUCUUGUGCGGCUGCAACUAACAUAACACCUCCAUACUUCCCACUUAGGUGAGUCUCAUCCACCACAAUGACCCUUCUCUGAUACUUAAAACCUUUGAUAGAAGCUCCAAAAGAGAGAAAUAGAUACUUAAAUCUAUUGAUAGAAUCAAGUUCUAUAGCCGUGAUAGAAUCGAGAUUUGCUAAGGAGAUUUGCUCGAGAUAUGAUGGCAGACGCGAAUACCCAUCUUCUGCUGAUCCUCUCACCAAUGUUUGUGCAUAUAAAAGUGCUCUGUAUGAAGUGGUGUAAUCAAGCGUCAUGCAAAACAUGUUCUUCAUUGCAUCAGUGAUAUGUUGCGGAUUCAAACCAUCAAUUAUUCCAACACGAUCAAUGAAAAGCCUACCAACAUACUUCGGAGUACAGUGUCUCCGCUGAGCGAGUCGAUCUCCCACUGAGCAUGUAUGCUUUUCCACAUACUUUGUUACCCAAAACGUGUUUGUCCCAUGUUUCACACUCGCUCUAAUCUUCCGUUGACAACCACUAACCGGACAUGUUGUCACAAGGAGAGUUUUCGUUGACUUGUAUAUUCUGAAGGAGAACCUAAACCUCACUGCUGUCAACCGCAGCUCUGAAAGCAGUGCAUCUUUGCUAACAAAACUCUGGUUGACAUAGAUAUUGUUACCAUUCGAUCUUCCUGCUUCAAUCUUUUUGAAAUCUUCAAAACACAUAUCAUCAUCUUCCUCAUCCUCAUCUUCAACCUUUCCAUAAACACUGUAAUCCUCACCAUUCUCGUCCGCUUCAGCAACAAUAUAGAUAUCAUCCUCCUCCUCCCCAUCAUCCUCCUCCCCAUCAUGAUUUUCAUCUUCAACAAAAUCAUCAUCAUCAUAUUCAAAACAUUCAUCAGCUUCAUCAUCUUCUUCCCUGAACUCUGAAACCGUUUCCACCUUGCUACGGCUUGAUACACAAAGCCGUACUCCAUGCGUUUUGGUUAUCUCGAGCAAGUUUCGAACUUGUCUAUCACUUGUAACAUGAAUAGGAAGGGUGUUUGGAGCCAGCAUCAUUUCUGCUGGUAAUGAGUAGGUUAUCUCCACAGAUUAUGUGCUCAUGUCCAGGUUAUAAUCUUCUUGAGCCAUUGCAAGAAGUUCAGCAUGUGUCGAACUUUCUCCCAAAAAAUGAUUCUCGCUCCUUUGACAUUAUCAACCACAAAAUUCCAACGGCACUCUUUCAACAACCAUUAUCCAUACACUGCAUGUAACUGACGCAUCAUCUACAAAAAUUCAAAAUAAAACACAUUAGUAAACAUAGAGAAAAUGAAAGUUUACUAAACAUUGACGCAGACGACAUACCAGUAAGUCAUCUGGAAGACUUACCAGUAAGUCGUCCAAACAGGUCAUUUUUGCAAUUGAAUUUUAAAUUGGAAGACUUACUUGUAAGUCGUCCAGCUUUGUUUGUUAAAAAAAAAACUCUAGACAACUUACCAGUAAGUCGUUUAGGAUAAAACGGGUUAGUUUUGCAUUUGACCGAAUUGUGUCAGAUAUUUGACUUUUCCUGGACGACUUACCAGUAAGUCGUCUCUGGGUAAACAAAAAUUUCAAUAUUUUAUUAAAGUUAGACGACUUAUUUGUAAGUCUUCUCAGGUUAGUUUGCAAUUCGAAAAAGAAACUUAAAUGUUUAACUUUACCCAGACGACUUACUUGAAAGUCGUCCAGGUAGACGACUUACGAGAAAGUCGUCCGAGAUAAGCAAGGUUUGACCAGAAUAUAGGAAAUAAAUCUGGACGACUUUGCUUAUCCUGGACGACUUUCAAGUAAGUCGGACGACUUUCAAGUAAGUCAUCUUACUUGACGACUUCCGCGUAAGUCGUAUGGGAAAAGUUAAAUAUUUAAGUUUUAUUUUCCACUUCCAAAAGUAACAUGAGACGACUUGCAGAUAAGUCGUCUAGCUUUAAUAAAAUAUUGAAAUUUUUGUUUUCCCGGAGACGACUUACUGAUAAGUCGUCCAGGAAAAGUCAAAUAUCUAACACAAUUCGGUCAAAUGCAAAACUAAGUCGUCUAGGGUAUUCUCUAGAUUUUUUUUUUAACAAACAAAGAUAACGACUUACAAGUAAGUCGUCCGUUUGACCAGAAGACUUACCCGUAAGUCUUCUACAGCCAGACUACUUACAGGUAAAUCUUCUACGCGAACAGAUCUGGAAAAAAUUUCAAUUUCAUACCUUAAACUAGUGAGAUGACUUCGUUAGCACACAAAGUCUUCUCCAACCACUCAGAACCUCAAACGAAAGUAACCCACCAAGAAUAGUAUGCUUGAAUGGCUCUAUCAACCAUAAAAAAAUUUGAAUCAAAAGCUUGAGUUUUUGGGAUGAAUAUGGAGUUAAAGUGAAAGAGAUGUUGUUUUUGGUUCAUAACAAGUGAGAAAGAGAGUGUGUAAAUCGAUUUGAGGUGCAUUAGGAGCUUCAAAUUGGUUGUUCAUGGUGGUUGGUGCAUUGAUUGUAAUGGCAAUCUUGUAAAUACUUGAAGAUGAUGAGGUUGAGAGAGUAAAAAUGCAAUUUUCGAAAAAAAAAGAAAAAAAAAACUAAUGGCAUUUUCGUGAAUAAUAUGAACUUGUGAGGUGAAUAGGACAAAAGAAAAAUCCAAGAAAAGCAUGGGUUAAUUUUAGGUUUGACUUUGAGUUUUGAGUCAAUCUUGCAAAAAGCCUUAAUCUUAUCAAAUUAUUAUUGCCUUUUUCAAAUAUAGAAAUUUACUGUAUGGUUUUAUAAUAGAUCUUUUUAAGUUUUUUUCAUAGAAAAGAUUUCCAAAGAGGAAAAUAACCAAAAAUUUUCAUUUAAGUGGCAAAAGACACUUAUAUCCUAGAUAGGUAAAUAAAAUAAAAUGAUAAAUCCUCAACAAUCAUGUCUUGAUGAUCACAGGAACCAGUUCUUAUUACUCUCUACAUAUGUGUCUUGCUUAGAAGUGCAUUAGGAUUCCUUAGCCGAAUUAUAUGUUUUCAAAUUCGAACUUUUUAUAAUUUUUUUUGUUUUGAUUUUUUUUUCAAAUUUUCGUUUUGAAAUUCGAAAAAUGCUUUUGAAACUAUUUUUUUUUUCAAAUUUUUAAUAUUUAUUCUUUAUUUUAUAAAAAUUUAAAUUUCAAUCCUAAAACCCAACUUUUAACCCUAAACCCUAAGGUUUAAAUCAGUUAACCCUAAGAGUAUAAUUGUAUAUUUACCUUUUAAUUAAAAUAUUUUGAUCAAUUUGAUCAUUAUCUCUAUAAUAUUAUUUUAUCUGAGAAUUCAGUUUCCUACGCGUUAUUUACAGAAGUACCCUUAAUGAAUUUAAAAUAUUAAAUUUAAAUACUAUUAGUAAAAUUUUAUUUAGUUUCCUUUUUACCUUUUACAAAUAACAUAUAUAAUAAAAAACAUUUAAAAAGUUUAAAACGGAUUUAAAAACGAAAAUAUAUGUAUAUAUAAUAUGAUUCUAUUAAAAAGAAAAUUUCACAAAAUAAUAAUAUUCCAUUUAAACAUAUUUUUACAUAACAAAAAUAUACUUUCAAAGUAAUAAAAAUACUUACUGUAUAUAUUUGUUUUUCUUAGAUGAAAACAAAAAUAUAAAUGACAAUAAAAACAAAAAUAUAUUUUAUAUAAUGUGAUUUCAUAAAAAACAAAGUUCACAAAGAUAUUUUUGAUAUUAAAAAAAUAAAUAUUAUUCCUUUAAAACUUACUUUAUAUAAUAUAAAAUAAAUAUAUUUUUUUAAGUAAUAGAAAUAUUUCUUUAUAUCUAUCUAUUUUCUUAGAUGAUUACUUAAAAAUAAUUAAAUAACAUUUUAGGAGAAAUUACGGGUAUGAAUGGUGACCGGGGAAUGAUGGGGAAUAAUGCAUUCCCUAACGUUCCUAUAAAAAAUCACCAUUCAAAAGGAAUAAUAAUUCAUUUUCAUUCCCUUUCGUUCCUGUUUUUGUAGAGAAUUCAUUUUCAUUCCCUUUCGUUCCUGUUUUUGUAGAGAAUUAAAGGAUAAAAUUAUUCAUCAACACUAAACCCUAAACCCUAAAAAAAUUAACCCUAAACCCUAAAACAUCAACUCUAAAAACCCUAAACCCUAAAUCUUCAACUCUAAACCCUAAACUCUAAACCCUAAAUUUUAAACCCUGAACCCUAGAGUUGAUGUUUUAGGGUUUAGAUUCGAAGGUUUAGGGUUUUCGGGUUUAGGGUUUACGUUUAGUAUUUAGAGUUGAUGUUUUAAGGUUUAGAUUUGAAGGUUUAGGAUUUAAGGGUUUAGGGUUUGAAUUUCAGAAAAAUAUAGGGUUUAGGGUUUCAAAUCUAAACCCUAAACUUUCAAAUCUAAACCCUAAAACAUCAACUCUAAACCCUAAACAUAAACCCUAAACCCUAAAUCUAAACUUAAAACAUCAACUUUAAACCCUAAAUCAUCAACUUUUAACCCUAAACCCCGAAACAUCAACUCUAAACCCUAAACCUUAAACCUUCAAAUCUAAACCCUAAAACAUCAACCCUAACUUUAUUAGAAAUAAAACUAAUUUGAUUUGACUUUAUUAGAAUCAAAAUAAUUAUACUUGAGUUUGAAUUGAAAAGAAUAUAUGUAACUCAAUAUACUCACAACAUGAGUGAAUCAACUAAUCCAACUUAUAUCCGAAAUGAAAAAUCUUGCUACAAUAAAAUAUAAUUCAAUAAUAAGAAUCUAUUUAUUUUUAUGCAUAUAAAUUACAUGACGACUCAAAACAUAUUAAUAAAUAUAAAAAAGUUAACUAAUUGUUACAAUAUAGUUUUAUAUAUAUGUGUGAGACUUCAUAAUAUUAUCAUUAUAUUUAUUUAUGUAAUUUUGAAUCAAACACUUCACUUUAUUUUUUAUUUAAUUCUAAGCACAAUAUCUAUUACAUUUAUACAAAAUCUUGCUAAAAUAUAUUUAUAUAUCUAAGAAAUUAGCUAUAUUUAGAAUAAAAUAUUAUAGCUGAAUUCAGAGAAAUAGAUGCAAUUCAAUAUACACAAGUUAUAGACAAAUCGAUUGUUGACCCAAAAACAACCAAACAGAGGUGAUAUAACAUGUCCAAAACCAUAUGUCUAAUUAAAAUAAUAUAAUAUUAUUAAUAUAAAUCUAUAAAAAUAAAUUAUAAAUUGAUUUAAAAUCAAAAGUAAAUAUCAAUUAAUUAUAGUACAUUAAUUUUAUAAAUAUUUAUGCCCGUGCAUGAGCACAGGAGAAUCACCUAGUAUAUUAUAUUUGUUACAAAAAAAAAAUAGUGUUAUGCAAAGGUAUUUCUCUUUAUAAUAUCAAGGUGCAGGUAUUUCUCUUUAUAAUAUCAAGCUGCAACCCAAAUUCUCUUUUAAUUUCUAACUUAUUAUAAGAUAUUUGAUAAUAUUCUAAGGAGAGAAUUUUGUUUAGUAAACUAAAAAGAAAAAAGGAGAAUCACAAUGGAAAAAAAAAGGAAAUAGGAAACAAAAAUUCAAAUGUCGAAUAGAAAAGGAAACCCCUAAAUUGUUACAAAAAAAAAAGAAAAGGAAAACCCUAAAAUAUAUAUUCUUAUAUAUACUAACCGAAGGGUGCCAAAACAAAGCAAAAAACAAAGAAAAAACAAUCAAACGAUGGAGGAGAAUGGGGAGGCCGGUCCUGCUAGCUCGUCCGAUUUCUCGAGUGCAUUGCCGGCAGAGAUACAAUCUAAAACUUGAAGCGGGAAAGACAAAGUUAGGAGCGAUUCUUGAGAUGUCCAUAGUUGAAGAGGGACGUGGAUCCCGUAAGGGUUGUGCAAGGACACGGGUCUAUCUCUCGAUUCCUGUUAUCGAAGGGCGUUCAAGACAAGUCAUACUUGAAACUUUGACGACAUCAGGAAUAAGCGAGGAAGAUGGAAAAUUCAUAGUAUCGUCCAUGAAUUGUCUUUAUAAUGAACUCAUUCUCUUCAAGUGUCGGUCAGGUGGAUUGUUAACGCUGUAUAUGAAUGUCUUGGUGAGGGUUGAUCACUAUCACAACAUUCGCAGGGGCAUCAAAAUCGAUCAGGACCAUCGGAUCAUCAAGGCUGAUCAAUACGACGGAGUUUGGGACUCCGACUCUAUCGUAGUUGAUCAUGAGGAGGGCUGGAAGCAUGUCGCCCGGAUUUAUAUGGAUGACGACAAAACCCUAAGGUAUACCUUUCCCCGGGCUGAUAUAUAUUGCCAUUCAUCAAAUACACUUUGAGCCUGCGAGUGAGAGUGCAGUAAGAAGUUUAAAGAUAUCACGGAUAGAGGAGAAGAUCUGUUGCGCAAUCUGUUUAGAAGACUUGCCGGUUGGGUCAGCUGCCUCUAGUUUGCCAUGUCAGCAUCACUUCCACACCGGAUGCAUCUUGGAAUGGCUCAAGAACAGCCGCUUUUGCCCCACUUGUCGUUUAGUCUUACCUGCCAAAGAAAGAAUUUUCUCAAAUAUAUAAAACUUUUCCAAAUUUAAUUAUUAACAUAGACACACAAUCAUAUUGAACGGGUUUAUGUCAAUAUCUGAGCACCACACGUUUGAUUGCAACUAUAAUAGGAGACUUUUGAAUCCCUGAUUCUGUGACUCAAAACUUUUUUUUUUCCGUGACUUGAACUCGACGCUACAUUAUGAAAUAAGCUGUAUAAGUAAUUCCAAAAGAUAAAUAACGCAGCUCAAUAAACCAUGCAUUAACACAACUAUCAAUCAAAUCAGAAUUUUCACUGAAUCUAUUACCAGUUUUAGUUUUUGCAAAUCAGAACAUAAGGACACCUAUAGUAAUGGUCUCUCAUCAUUGCUUCUUACGAAAAAUAUUAGUAAAAAAAUAAAAAGUGGGAGAGAGAAGGCAGAAAACAUCAAAAUCAUUAUUGUUAGAGUUGGUUAUAUGUUUACAUUCCCCUAUUGUACUCGACAUCAUCUUCUGUUUCUUCCACAUCAUAAUUCAACACCCAUUCAAUUUUUAUUCUCUAUAAGACUAUGUACAAUAGUUUCAACAUCUUCCAAUUUAUCUUUUAACACUCCAUGUCAUCUUCUCUUUCUUACACAUCAUCAUUCAACAUACAUUCAACUUUUAUCCACUACAAUGGUUUUGUUGACUAAUAUUCAACAUUCUAUUUUAUUAAUUAAUAAAUUUUUUUCUAUAUCCAAAUUACAUAAAUCUAGUCUCUAUUUAUAGAUAAUGUAAAAUGAUAAAUUUUAGUAUAAGAAAUAAAAAUAAAUUAUUUAAUUUAUAAUGAGAUUAAUUAGUUUCAAUUAACUAAGAGAAUAUUAUAAUAUCAAAAAUCAUUAGAAAGUGCAUGUGUCGUCGGUGGUCUCUGCUUUCUUCUUAUUCAACAUGUUGAAUCUUUUCAACACCAAUUAAUCCACAUCAUCUAAUUUUAUUUUUCAACACCUUCAUUGUAGGGAUUCAAUUGUUGAAUAUUUUAUUCAAUACCCCAAUUAUACAUAUAGUCUAAUGGUUUUGUUUUAAAAAAAAUUACAACACCUUACCCUACUAAUUUUGUUUAUACUCUUAUUUAAUUUUAUGUUUUGGGUGUUAAAAGGAUAUUAUUGGAAUUCAUUUCACUAAAAAGAUUUUUAAUGAUAAAACAAAAAUUUAGUAGGAGCUAAUAACAAAAAUAUAGUAAAAAAGAUGAGUUUUUUUUUCCGUGUCCAAAUGAAAUGAAACGAGUCUCUAUUUAUAAAGAAUGAAAAUUGAUGAAUUUUGAUAUAAAACGGGUUCAUAAUUUAAUUAUUUUUAUAGAAUAUGUGAUUUAAUGAUUUAAUAUGUAUUAGUUUAUUUUAAAUAGAUAAUUUAUAGUUGUUAUAAUGAAAUAAUAUUAUAUUUUAUUACAGUUUGCAAGAUUUUUAUCUUCAGCAGAAUAUGAAUACGUAGCUAUAAGACAAAUAUAAUCAUCUAGAUAUAUAUAUCUUAAAGUUUCUGCAAAUUAUCUAAACUUAUAGAUAUUUGAUUAGAAUUAGUAAGUAAUAUAUUAUAUUUAAUAUAAAAGUAAACAAAUAUAUCAAUGUCUUGAGAAUGUUUAAGGGAUCUCUUAUAAUAUAUUUCAGAAUGUAUUAAAAUUAAUCUUAUAUUUUUGAUUAAUUUUGUGUACAAUUAAAUUUAUGCCUAAUAAUUAAGAGUUAUUCUUGAGUUCACCCCUUAGGGUGAACCUCUAGGUUCACCAUCCAAUAGGAUUUAGUUAUUUCAUAUUUGACAUCUUUUAAAAAAAGAAACAAAAUAUUGUCAAAUUGUAUUAUGUUUUAAUAAUAAAAAGGUAAAAAAUAAAUUAAAAUAAUAGUAAUUGAAAAAAAAAACGAACUAAAAAAAAACUAUUUUUAACAUCGUCAACUAAACACUAAACCCUUGGGUAAACCCUAAACCAUUGGAUAAAUCUUAAAUUCUAAAUCAAAAACACUAAACACUAAACACACUAAACCCUAAACCCUAAACCCUAAACCCUAAACCCUAAACCCUUUGGUAAACCCUAAAUCAUUGGAUAAAUCCUAAACUCUAAUUCAAAAAAAUUAAACACUAAUACACUAAACUCCAAACCCUAAAUCCUAAACCCUAAACUCUAAAUCCUAAACUCUUGAGUGUUUUAGUGUUUAGUUUUUUAUUUAGAGUUUAGGAUUUAUCCAAGGGUUUAGGGUUUAGG
rnacentral:lncRNA from 1 species